GCACCUUUGGUGUAGUGGUAACAUAUUUCCCUUCCAAGGAAAUGCCCCGGUUUCGAUUACCGGAAGGUGCA
rnacentral:tRNA from 1 species